GUAGGGGAGCAAGCGUUAUCCGGAUUUACUGGGUGUAAAGGGCGCGCAGGCGGGAAGACAAGUUGGGGAGUGAAAUCCGGGGGGCUCAACCCCCGAACUGCUUUCAAAACUGUUUUUCUUGAGUGAUGGAGAGGCAGGCGGAAUUCCCAGUGUAGCGGUGAAAUGCGUAGAUAUUGGGAGGAACACCAGUGGCGAAGGCGGCCUGCUGGACAUUAACUGACGCUGAGGCGCGAAAGCGUGGGGAGCAAACAGGAUUAGAUACCCUGGUAGUCCACGCCGUAAACGAUGGAUACUAGGUGUGGGAGGUAUUGACCCCUUCCGUGCCGGCGUUAACACAAUAAGUAUCCCACCUGGGGAGUACGAUCGCAAGGUUG
rnacentral:rRNA from 1 species